GCAAGUCGAGCGAACGGACGAGAAGCUUGCUUCUCUGAUGUUAGCGGCGGACGGGUGAGUAACACGUGGAUAACCUACCUAUAAGACUGGGAUAACUUCGGGAAACCGGAGCUAAUACCGGAUAAUAUUUUGAACCGCAUGGUUCAAAAGUGAAAGACGGUCUUGCUGUCACUUAUAGAUGGAUCCGCGCUGCAUUAGCUAGUUGGUAAGGUAACGGCUUACCAAGGCAACGAUGCAUAGCCGACCUGAGAGGGUGAU
rnacentral:rRNA from 1 species